AUCAAAUACGGCCUCUGAAGAUAAACUUUUAACUCUUAUUUCUCUGUCUGAAUCUAUUCACGCCGCACUUUUUCAUCGGUGCUUAUUUACAUUUUUUUCCAGCACGGGCAAAGCGAAGUUCACAUGACAGCACCACUUUAUCAGACUUUGGGUCCGUAACCGAGACAAACGGCUUGGAUCUGGGAGUCGUGAUUAAUGCGGCAUUUAGAUGGUACCAAGACCCCACCAGUGCAACACCGGAGCUAAGCCGAAAAGAACCCUGGGUCGGGACAUCUGGCUGGGUUUACCUCGAGGCUGAAGGCUGGACCCUGGGGGCACAGAUGGGGCAGACCAAAGGAGACAAACGGCUCGGACCAAAGGAGCAGACCAAAUGAAGAUCAAACUGGCCAGCAUCACUGAGGCCGUUGUGGAGGAGGAGAGGCCCAGGCCAGAGGGGGACCGGUGCAACAAGAGGUGACUGAAGGACACAGUGUGGGGUCACGCUGCGGCUCUUCCUGCUCUGCUUGCUACAUGGCCCUCGUGCUCCGGAGGCCAGAGCCUGAUUGCUGCACUGGGAUCUCGGCACAGAGCGUUUUCAUUAGGGAAAGGGCCAAGAUCAUCCAGGAAGGUUCCGGCCCAUUAAUACAUUUGAAACGGCGAAUGAAAGCUGGGAGCUAGCCGAGGGGGGUUUAAGGGGGGUGGGGGGUGGCAGUGGGUUAUUUUGAAAGGGAAGAACCCUGCGGAAUGACACUGAGAGCCUUAGUGAAUAAAUGCCC
rnacentral:lncRNA from 1 species